rnacentral:rRNA from 1 species
CAGGACGACGCUGGCGGCGUGCCUAAUACAUGCAAGUCGAACGGUCUUUCUAUGGAAGCUUGCUUCCACUGAGAAGAUAGUGGCGAACGGGUGAGUAACACGUGGGUAACCUGCCCAUAAGAGGGGGAUAACAUCCGGAAACGGGUGCUAAUACCGCAUAGUUUUCUUGAUCGCAUGAUUGAGAAAGGAAAGACGGCCUUUGUGCUGUCGCUUAUGGAUGGACCCGCGGCGUAUUAGUUAGUUGGUGAGGUAACGGCUCACCAAGACGAUGAUACGUAGCCGACCUGAGAGGGUGAUCGGCCACAUUGGGACUGAGACACGGCCCAAACUCCUACGGGAGGCAGCAGUAGGGAAUCUUCCGCAAUGGACGAAAGUCUGACGGAGCAACGCCGCGUGAGUGAAAGAAGGUUUUCGGAUCGUAAAACUCUGUUGUCAGAGAAGAACAAGUUGGAGAGUAACUGCUCCAGCCUUGACGGUAUCUGACCAGAAAGCCACGGCUAACUACGUGCCAGCCGCCGC